GCCCGGUUAGCUCAGCUGGUUAGAGCGUCGUACUAAUACUGGGAAACCUGUAAAUGGUAUGCGAAGGUCAACAGUUCAAUCCUGUUACUGGGCA
rnacentral:tRNA from 1 species